GAGACCGAUAGUGAACUAGUACCGUGAGGGAAAGGUGAAAAGAACCCCGAGAGGGGAGUGAAAUAGAAACUGAAACCGCAAGUCUACAAGCAGUCGAAGCACUAUUCUAAUGUGCGACGGCGUACCUUUUGCAUAAUGAGUCAGCGAGUUACCUUUACAAGCAAGCUUAAGCCGUUACAGGUGUAGGCGCAGCGAAAGCGAGUCUUAACUGGGCGUUUAGUUUGUAGGGGUAGACCCGAAACCCGGUGAUCUAACCAUGGGCAGGUUGAAGCGUGGCUAACCCCACGUGGAGGACCGAACAAGUGGAGGUUGAAAACUCCUUUGAUGACCUGUGGUUAGGGGUGAAAGGCCAAUCAAACUGGGUGAUAGCUGGUUCUCCUCGAAAUAUAUUUAGGUAUAGCGUCAAUUAAUUUUAUCCCGGAGGUAGAGCACUGAUUGGGCUAGGGGUCUUCACCAGAUUACCAAACCCUACCAAACUCCGAAUGCCGGUGAUAACUAUUUUGGCAGUCAGACGUCGGGUGAUAAGGUCCGGCGUCAAAAGGGAAAGAGCCCAGACCGUCAGCUAAGGUCCCUAAAUCAAUGCUAAGUGGUAAACGUUGUGGCGCUGCUGUGACAACUAGGAGGUUGGCUUAGAAGCAGCAAUCCUUUAAAGAAAGCGUAAUAGCUCACUAGUCUAGCGGCGCUGCGCGGAAAAUAUAACGGGGCUUAAGCAUUGUACCGAAGCUACGGGUUCAUACUUUGUAUGAGCGGUAGAGGAGCAUUGAAGCGUAGGCUGAAGGUCGAGCGGAAGCACGGCUGGACGAACUUCAAGAGAUCAUGCUGACAUUAGUAGCGUUUAAUGGUGGGGAAGAGCCACCACGCCGAAAACUCAAGGGUUCCUGGGCAAGGAUCAUCCUCCCAGGGUUAGUCGGGUCCUAAGACGAGGCCAAGUGGCGUAGUCGAUGGCAAAUGCGUUAAUAUUCGUAUACCUGAUUACUUUUAUACUUGCGGAGGGACGCAGUAGGAUAUCCCAGCCUGUUAUUGGAUUCAGGUGUAAGCGCGUAGGAGGUCACUUAGGCAAAUCCGGGUGGCAUAACUCUGAGACGUUAAUGCGAGAGUCUACGGACUCGGAAGUGGGAAAAGCCAUGCUGCCAAGAAAAGCUUCGUAAGGUUUUGUAAUCAGCCCGUACUGUAAACCGACUCAGGUGAGUGGGGUGAGAAUCCUAAGGCGAUUGAGAUAACUUUGGUUAAGGAACUCGGCAACUUGAGGCCGUAACUUCGGGAUAAGGCCUGCCCCUGAUGGUGUAAGCACUUGCUGCUGAAGCUGUUGGGGGUCGCAGAGACCAGGGAGUAGCGACUGUUUAUCAAAAACACAGGGCUGUGCUAAUUCACAAGAAGAUGUAUACAGCCUGACGCCUGCCCGGUGCCGGAAGGUUAAGAGGAUUUGUUAGCGUAAGCGAAGCGGAGAAUCGAAGCCCCGGUAAACGGCGGCCGUAACUAUAACGGUCCUAAGGUAGCGAAAUUCCUUGUCGGGUAAGUUCCGACCUGCACGAAUGGCGUAACGACUUCUCCGGUGUCUCAACCAAAGACUCAGUGAACUUGAACUCGCAGUGAAAAUGCUGCGUUCCCGCAGAAAGACGGAAAGACCCCGUGAACCUUUACUAUAGCUUGGCAUUGAGCACUGAAACAUCAUGUGUAGGAUAGGUGGGAGACUUUGAAACUAGGACGCUAGUUCUAGUGGAGUCAUCCUUGAAAUACCACCCUUGUUGUUUUGGUGUUCUAACCUGCGCCCGUUAUCCGGGCGGGGGACAAUGUCUGGUGGGUAGUUUGACUGGGGCGGUCGCCUCCCAAAAAGUAACGGAGGCGUACGAAGGUUCCCUCAGCCUGAUUGGAAACCAGGCGUCGAGUGCAUUGGCAUAAGGGAGCUUGACUGCGAGGCCUACAAGCCGAGCAGGUGCGAAAGCAGGUCAA
rnacentral:rRNA from 1 species